rnacentral:rRNA from 1 species
UCGAGAAUAUUCGACAAUGGGCGAAAGCCUGAUCGAGCGACGCCGCGUACUUGAAGAAGCCCUUCGGGGUGUAAAGAGUUUUUUUCGUUGAAGAAGUCGCAAGACUGACAGUAAACGGAGAAUAAGGGGCUGCUAAUCACGUGCCAGCAGCCGCGGUAAUACGUGAGCCCCAAGCGUUAUCCGGAAUUAUUGGGCGUAAAGGGUCCGUAGGUGUCCUUUCAAGUUUUCUGUUAAAGAUCUCCCGCUCAACGGGGGAAAUGCAGAAAAAACUGAUGGGAUUGAGGGUGCUAGAGGUUAGCGGAACGGUCGGUGUAGGGGUGAAAUCCGUUGAUAUCGACCGGAACACCAAAUGCGAAGGCAGCUAACUGGGGCAACCCUGACACUGAGGGACGAAAGCGUGGGGAUCAAAAAGG